rnacentral:rRNA from 1 species
GACGAACGCUGGCGGCGUGCUUAACACAUGCAAGUCGAACGGAAAGGCCCCAGCUUGCUGGGGUACUCGAGUGGCGAACGGGUGAGUAACACGUGGGUGAUCUGCCCUGCACUCUGGGAUAAGCCUGGGAAACUGGGUCUAAUACCGGAUAGGACCGUGCUUUAGUGUGUGCGGUGGAAAGUUUUUCGGUGCAGGAUGAGCCCGCGGCCUAUCAGCUUGUUGGUGGGGUAAUGGCCUACCAAGGCGGCGACGGGUAGCCGGCCUGAGAGGGUGUACGGCCACAUUGGGACUGAGACACGGCCCAGCCUCCUACGGGAGGCAGCAGUGGGGAAUAUUGCACAAUGGGCGCAAGCCUGAUGCAGCGACGCCGCGUGGGGGAUGACGGCCUUCGGGUUGUAAACCCCUUUCGGCAGGGACGAAGCUUUUGUGACGGUACCUGCAUAAGAAGCACCGGCUAACUACGUG